rnacentral:rRNA from 1 species
GACGAACGCUGGCGGCGUGCUUAACACAUGCAAGUCGAACGGUAAGGCCCUUCGGGGUACACGAGUGGCGAACGGGUGAGUAACACGUGGGUGAUCUGCCCUGCACUUCGGGAUAAGCCUGGGAAACUGGGUCUAAUACCGGAUAGGACCACUGCCUGCAUGGGUGGUGGUGGAAAGCUUUUGCGGUGUGGGAUGGGCCCGCGGCCUAUCAGCUUGGUGGUGGGGUGAUGGCCUACCAAGGCGACGACGGGUGGCCGGCCGGGGAGGGUGACCGGCCAAACGGGGACUGAGAUACGGCCCAGACUCCUACGGGAGGCAGCAGUGGGGAAUAUUGCACAAGGGGCGCAGCCCUGAUGCAGCGACGCCGCGUGGGGGAUGACGGCCUUCGGGUUGUAAACCUCUUUCAGCACCGACGAAGCGAAAGUGACGGUGGGUGCAGAAGAAGGACCGGCCAACUACGUGCCAGCCGCCGCGGUAA